rnacentral:sRNA from 2 species
UGAUGCUGGUUUGUUGACUGGUCAUGAAGCAUCCUUGAUUCCAAGCCUGGUAGAAAUUUCUACGGGGAAACUACAUAUCCAUAGUCCAUUUAUGUGGCGGAUGAGUUUGGUUCUAGCCAGAGACUCGAUGGAGCCGCUGUGCUUUGAUAUGCUGCGUAUAUGCCGAUAAAAAGAUAUCAUUCUGCAUGGUCCAAGUAAUGAUAACUUUGGGGAGCGUUGGCAUGAAAAAGCCCCAGAAGCUCCGGGAGGGUGUUCUGGAAAAGCGAGUAUUGCCCAUUUCGAGUCCAGGGGUCAUGGUGAGACAGGGG